UCAUUCUAUCAGAAAUAGAAUCUAUUUCUUCUAUUUUAUCCUUGUAAUUUCUCUGUUCCACAAUAUUCUUUCUCUGGCAGCCUUGGGAUUUGUCUUGACUGAGGCAACUUGUAUGUGCAGUGGAAGGACACUAAGCUGGGUUACAGAGAUCAGAAGAAUGGACCCGUGUCAAGUGCUUUGUCUUCUGACUAAUGAUGAUGGGCUUGAGUCUCCUAGAACUUUCCCCAGCAAAAUAACCCUGUGCUGGUUCUCCUUUCCUGUGCUGAAGAACGGCCUGCCUUCCUCUGCUUUGGUCCGGUCCUGGCAGAUGAUGACCGAUCUUC
rnacentral:lncRNA from 1 species